rnacentral:rRNA from 1 species
UACGGAGGGUGCGAGCGUUGUCCGGAAUCACUGGGCGUAAAGGGCGCGUAGGUGGCGCGGGCAGUCAACGGUGAAAGUUCGGGGCUCAACCCUGAAUCGGCCGUCGAUACUCCCGUGCUUGAGCACUGUAGAGGCAGAUGGAAUUCCGGGUGUAGCGGUGGAAUGCGUAGAGAUCCGGAAGAACACCGGUGGCGAAGGCGGUCUGCUGGGGUGAGGCUGACGCUGAUGCGCGACAGCGUGGGGAGCAAACAGG